AAUCAACGCUGGCGGCGUGCCUCAGACAUGCAAGUCGAACGAUUAAAGCUCUCUUCGGAGAGUGCAUAGAGUGGCGCACGGGUGAGUAACACGUAAGUAAUCUACCCUCGAGUGGGGAAUAACGUCCGGAAACGUGCGCUAAUACCGCAUAAUGCAGCGGCAUCAUAAGAUGACAGUUGUUAAAGAUUUAUCGCUUUAGGAGGAGCUUGCGGCAGAUUAGCUAGUUGGUAAGGUAACGGCUUACCAAGGCUACGAUCUGUAACCGGGCUUAGAGGACGGUCGGUCACACUGACACUGAAGAACGGGUCAGACUCCUACGGGAGGCAGCAGUCGGGAAUUUUGGGCAAUGGGCGAAAGCCUGACCCAGCAACGCCGCGUGAAGGAUGAAGUAUUUCGGUAUGUAAACUUCGAAAGAAUAGGAAGAAUUAAUGACGGUACUAUUUAUAAGGUCCGGCUAACUACGUGCCAGCCGCCGCAGUAAGAC
rnacentral:rRNA from 1 species